GCAUUUCUGAGGGAAAAGGGAUGUCGUGCCAUACAUACAAUCGUCCUCUUCCACAAGCUUAAGCGUGCCUCUCUCUGGGUCUCAGUGUCUGCUAAUGAGGGUGUUCUAAAAUAAGAACUCCCAGGACACCCUGGGUGAUUCACAGAAAGAAAGAGUGGAAAGGGUUGGAAGGAGAAAGAAAGAGAGGUGGUGGAGGAAGGAGACAGAGAUGAGGUGAUGUGGAUGAGUAGAAAGAGAGGUGGUGGAGGAAGGAGACAGAGAUGAGGUGAUGUGGAUGAGUAGAAAGAGAGGUGGUGGAGGAAGGAGACAGAGAUGAGGUGAUGUGGAUGAGUAGAAAGAGAGGUGGUGGAGGAAGGAGACAGAGAUGAGGUGAUGUGGAUGAGUAGAAAGAGAGGUGGUGGAGGAAGGAGACAGAGAUGAGGUGAUGUGGAUGAGUAGAAAGAGAGGUGGUGGAGGAAGGAGACAGAGAUGAGGUGAUGUGGAUGAGUAGAAAGAGAGGUGGUGGAGGAAGGAGACAGAGAUGAGGUGAUGUGGAUGAGUAGAAAGAGAGGUGGUGGAGGAAGGAGACAGAGAUGAGGUGAUGUGGAUGAGUAGAAAGAGAGGUGGUGGAGGAAGGAGACAGAGAUGAGGUGAUGUGGAUGAGUAGAAAGAGAGGUGGUGGAGGAAGGAGACAGAGAUGAGGUGAUGUGGAUGAGUAGAAAGAGAGGUGGUGGAGGAAGGAGACAGAGAUGAGGUGAUGUGGAUGAGUAGAAAGAGAGGUGGUGGAGGAAGGAGACAGAGAUGAGGUGAUGUGGAUGAGUAGAAAGAGAGGUGGUGGAGGAAGGAGACAGAGAUGAGGUGAUGUGGAUGAGUAGAAAGAGAGGUGGUGGAGGAAGGAGACAGAGAUGAGGUGAUGUGGAUGAGUAGAAAGAGAGGUGGUGGAGGAAGGAGACAGAGAUGAGGUGAUGUGGAUGAGUAGAAAGAGAGGUGGUGGAGGAAGGAGACAGAGAUGAGGUGAUGUGGAUGAGUAGAAAGAGAGGUGGUGGAGGAAGGAGACAGAGAUGAGGUGAUGUGGAUGAGUAGAAAGAGGCGAUAGAGGUGUUAGAGAAGUCAGGGAGCUUCAAGGUGAUUGACUGAGAGGAAAAAGAGGCCAACUCAUCAUUCUGUUUCAUGUGUAGUGUUUCAUGUGUAUCAAAUCAAUCAAAUUCAAAUUUGAUUUGUCUAUUGUGCCGAAUACAACAGUGAAAUGCUUGCUUACAAUUCCUAAACCAACAAUGCAGUUUUAAGAAAUAACAAAAUAACUAAUAAUUCAAUAAUUAAAGAGCAGCAGUAAAAUAACUAUAGUGAGGCUAUAUAUAGCGUGUACCGGUACAGAGUCAAUGUGCGGGGGCACCGGUUAGUCGAGGUAAUAGGUAAAAAAAAAAUAAUAAUAAUUUUACUAGGCAAGUCAGUUAAGAACAAAUUCUUAUUUACAAUGACGGCCAAACCCGGGCCAAUGGUGCGCUGCCCAAUGGGACUCCCAAUCACGGCCGGUUGUGAUACAGCCUGGAUUUGAACCAGGAUGUCUGUAAUGACACCUCAGGCGCUAAGAUACAAUGCCUUAGACCACUGCGACACUCGGGAGCCCUACAUGUUGGUAUAGUUAUUAAAGUGACUAUGCAUAGAUAAUAACAGAGACUAGCAGCAUCAUAGAAGAGGGUGGAGGGGCAAUACAAAUAGUCCGGGUAGCCAUUUGAUUAGCUGUUCAGGAGUCUUAUGGCUUGGGGGUAGAAGCUGUUUAAAAGCCUCUUGGACCUAGACUUGGUGCUCCAGUACCGCUUGCCGUGCGGUAGCAGAGAAAACAGUCUAUGACUAGGGUGGUUGGAGUCUUAAACCAUUUUUUAGGGCCUUCCCCUGACACUGUCUGGUAUAGAGGUCCUGGAUGGCAGGAAGUUUGGCCCUGGUGAUGUACUGGGACCUACACACUACCCUCUGUAGCUCCAUACCAGGCAGUGAUGCAACCCGUCAGGAUGCUCUUAAUGGUGCAGCUGCAGAACCUUUUGAGGUUCUGAAGACCCAUGCCAAAUCUUUUCAGUCUCCUGAGGGGGAAUAGGUUUUGUCUUGCCCUCUUCACGACUGUCUUGAUGUGUUUGGACCAUGUUAGUUUGUUGGUGAUGUGGACGCCAAGGAACUUGAAGCUCUCACUCUCCACUACAGCCCCGUCGAUGAGAAUGUGGACAUGCUCGGUCCUCCUUUUCCUGUAAUCCACAAUAAUGUCCAUUGUCUUGAUCACGUUGAGGGGGAAGUUGUUGUCCUUGCACCACACAGUCAGGUCUCUGACCUCCCUAUAGGCUGUCUUGUCAUUGUCGGUGAUCAGGCCUUCCAUCUGCAAACUUAAUGAUGGUGUAGGAGUCAUGCCUGGCCAUACAGUCAUGAGUGAACAGGGAGUACAGGAGGGGACUGAGCACGCACCCUUGAGGGGCCUCCGUGUUGAGGAUCAGCGUGGCGGAUGUGUUGUUACCUACCCGUACCACCCGUGGGCGACCUGUCAGGAAGUCCAGGAUCCAGUUGCAUAGGGAGGUGUUUAGUCCCAGGGUUCUUAGCUUAGUGAUGAGCUUUGAGGGCACUGUGGUGUUGAACGCUGAGCUGUAGUCAAUGAAUAGCACCCUCACAUAGGUGUUCCUUUUGUCCAGGUGGGAAAGGACAGUGUGGAGUGCAAUAGAGAUUGCAUCAUCUGUGGAUCUGUUGGGGCGGUAUUUAAAUUGGAGUGGGUCUAGGGUUUCUUGGAUAAUGGUGUUUUGAGCCAUCACUAGCCUUUCAAAGCACUUCAUGGCUACAGACUUGAGUGCUAUGGGUCGGUAGUCAUUUAGGAAUAUGGUGGUAUGCUUGAAACAAGUUGGUAUUACAGACUCGGACAGGGAGAGGUUGAAAAUAUCAGUGAAGACACUUGCCAGUUGGUCAGUGCAUGCUUGGAGUACACGUCCUGGUAAUCUGUCUGGCCCUGCUGCCUUGUGAAUGUUGAACUGUUUAAAGGUCUUACUCACAUCGGCUGCGGAGAGCGUGAUCACACAGCCGUCCGGAACAGCUGAUGCUCUCAUGCAUGUUUCAGUGUUACUUGCCUCGAAGCGAGCAUAGACUUUAUUUAGCUUGUCUGGUAGGCUCAUGUCACUGGGCAGUUCUCGGAUGUGCUUCCCUUUGUAGUCUGUAAUAGUUUACAAAUCCUGCCACAUCUGAUGAGCGUCGGAGCCGGUGUAGGCUGAUUCGAUCGUUGUCCUGUAUUGAUACUUUGCCUGUUUGAUGGUUUGUCAGAGGGCAUAGCGGGAUUUCUAAUACGUUUCCGGGUUAGAGUCCCGCUUCUUUAAAGCGGCAGCUUUACCCUUUUAGUUCAGUGCGGAUGUUGCCUGUAAUCCAUGGCUUCUGAUUGGGGUAUGUACAUACAGUCACUGUGGGGAAGACGUCAUCGAUGCACUUAUUUUUGAAGCCAGUGACUGAUGUGGUGUACUCAAUGCCAUCGGAAGAAUCCCAGAACAUAUUCCAGUCUAUGCUAACAAAACAGUCCUGUAGUUUAGCAUCUGCUUCAUCUAACCACUUUUUAUUGACCAAGUCACUGGUGCGUCCUGUUUUAUUUUUUGCUUUUAAGCAGAAAUCAGGAGGGUAGAAUUAUGGUCAGAUUUGCCAAAUGGAGGGCGAGGGAGAGCUUUGUCUAUGUCUCUGUGUGUGGAGUAAAGGUGGUCAAGUUUUUUCCCUUUGGUUGCACAUUUAACAUGCUGAUAGAAAUGAGGUAAAACUGAUUUAAGUUUCCCUGCAUUAAUGUCCCUGGCCACUAUGAGCGCCGCCUCUGGAUGAACGUUUUCCUGUUUGCUUAUGGACGGAAUACACCUCAUUGAGUGCGGUCUUAGACAGCUACAAAAAAACAAAACACCUUUAUUUAACUUCAAAGUCAAAGAGUGAAUGGUUCCAUGUCCCUUACAUUUACACAUUGUUUUCAUUUUAUCUUUAUUUAACUAGGCAAGUCAGUUAAGAACACAUUAUUACUUUCAAUGAUGGCCUAGGAACAGUGGGUACUGCCUUGUUCUGGAGCAGAACGACAGAUUUUUACCUUGUCAGCUCGGGGAUUCUUUUUUUGUAACCUUCCGGUUACUAAUCCAACACUCUAACCACCUGCCUUGCAUUGCACUCCACGGGGAGCCUGCUUGGCAGGCUGACUACCUGCCAAGGUAAGUUGCUAGCUAGCAUUAAACUUAUCUUAUAAAAAACAAUCAAUCUUAACAUAAUCACUAGUUAACUACACAUAGUUGAUGAUAUUACUAGUUUAUCUAGCGUGUCCUGCGUUGCAUAUAAUUGAUGUGGUGCCUGUUAAUUUCUCAUCGAAUCACAGCCUACUUCGAUAAACAGGUGAUAAUUUAACAAGCGCAUUUGCGAAAAAAGCACUGUCGUUGCACCAAUGUACCUAACCAUAAACAUCAAACCCUUUCUUGAAAAUCAAUACACAAGUAUGUAUUUUUAAACCUGCAUAUUUAGUUAAUAUUGCCUGCUAACAUGAAUUUCUUAUAACUAGGGCAAUUGUGUCACUUCUCUUGCGUUCCGUGCAAGCAGUCAGGGUAUAUGCAGCAGUUUGGGCCGCCUGGCUCGUUCUAACAAAGGCCGUAAUUAAUUUGCCAGAAUUGUACAUAAUUUUGACAUAACAUUAAAGGUUGUACAAUGUAACAGCAAUAUUUAGACUUAGGGAUGACAUCCGUUAGAUAAAAUAAGGAACGGUUCCGUAUUUCACUGAAAGAAUAAACGUUUUGUUUUUGAAAUGAUAGUUUCCGUAUUCGACUAUUUUAAUGACCAAAGGCUCGUAUUUCUGUGUUAUUAUGUUAUAAUUAAGUCUAUGAUUUGAUAGAGCAGUCUGACUGAGCGAUGGUAGGCACCAGCAGGCUCGUAAGCAUUCAUUCAAGCAGCACAUUCGUGUGUUUGCCAGCAGCUCUUCGCAAUGCUUCAAGCAUUGCGCUGUUUAUGACUUCAAGCAUAAGCAAAAACUGUGUGUUUGUGAAAAAAAAAAAAAUCUGUGUUUUAUUAAUAUGUAUAUGAAAUACAAAUGGUAUAGAGAGAAAUAGUCCUAUAAUUCAUAUAAUAACUACAACCUUAAACUUCUUCCCCCUGGGAAUAUUGAAGACUCAUGUUAAAAGGAACCACCAGCUUUCAUAUGUUCUCAUGUUCUGAGCAAGGAACUGAAACAUUAGCUUUUUUACAUGGCACAUAUUGCACUUUUACUUUCUUCUCCAACACUUUGUUUUUGCAUUAUUUAAACCAAAUUGAACAUGUUUCAUUAUUUAUUUGAGGCUAAAUUGAUUUUAUUGAUGUAUUAUAUUAAGUUAAAAUAAGUGUUCAUUCAGUAUUUUUGUAAUUGUCAUUAUUACAAAUAAAAAAUAAACAAUUGACCGAUUAAUCGGUAUCGGCCUUUUUUUUGUCCUCCAAUAAUCGGUAUCGGCGUUGAAAAAUCAUAAUCGGUCGACCUCUAGUUCUAUCCUGCCGAUGGAGUGUAUAACCUGCCAGCUGUAUGUGUCGUCGUUUAGCAACGACACAGUGAACCGUAAGAUAUUAGAUUUGAAUGUCUCGUUGGUAGGAUAUACGUGCUUUUAGUUUGUCCCAUUUCUGUUUCUGUUUCAUGUGUUUUGUUUCGGUCUGUUGCAGCCAGCGACGUCUCGUGUCUGGGCUUGAUAUGAUUUGAUUUGCACAAAUUAGCCUGCCAGGGUACCAUUGUACUGAUGACAUUUCAUUAUCAGCUGUGUGAAGGGUCUUGUGUGUGUGUGUACGCACCAUCGCUACCACAGGCUUGGUUUAAACAUGUCAGAUGUGUCGUUACAGAAAGCACAGCGAAGUGUGUGACAGGACAGUGUUACGUGUAAACAAGGUGUG